UUUCUCCCUCGGCCUUGCUCUGUUUCUUUCUGUUGCUUUCUGGUGUUGUUCUCACAUUUCCAGACUAUUAUCCUCUUUUUCUUUUGAUGUAUAAUCUGUGACAUUGCCAGUGUUUAAAUAUUUUGGACUUAGGUUUCAAAUUUCAAACCAUCAAUUCAGAUAAAAUCAUCAUACAUGCACUUUUAAACAUAUGCCUCUGUGAAAGUAAGAUAGACUUCCACAAAUUGCCACAACCAGAUC